rnacentral:rRNA from 1 species
UACGUAGGGGACAAGCGUUGUCCGGAAUUAUUGGGCGUAAAGAGCGCGUAGGCGGUCCGGUAAGUCGGUUGUGAAAGUCGGGGGCUCAACCCUCGGAUGCCGAUCGAUACUGUCGGGCUAGAGUCCGGAAGAGGCGAGUGGAAUUCCUGGUGUAGCGGUGAAAUGCGCAGAUAUCAGGAGGAACACCGGUGGCGAAGGCGGGUCUCUGGGCCGAUACUGACGCUGAGGAGCGAAAGCGUGGGGAGCGAACAGG